rnacentral:rRNA from 1 species
AAACUUUUAACAACGGAUCUCUUGGUUCUGGCAUCGAUGAAGAACGCAGCGAAAUGCGAUAAGUAAUGUGAAUUGCAGAAUUCAGUGAAUCAUCGAAUCUUUGAACGCACAUUGCGCCCCCUGGUAUUCC